UUGGCCUACGGGGGCAGCAGUGGGGAAUAUUGCGCAAUGGGGGAAACCCUGACGCAGCAACGCCGCGUGAGUGAGGAAGUAUCUCGGUAUGUAAAGCUCUAUCAGCGGGGAAGAAGGAAGACGGUACCCGACUAAGAAGCCCCGGCUAACUACGUGCCAGCAGCCGCGGUAAUACGUAGGGGGCGAGCGUUAUCCGGAUUUACUGGGUGUAAAGGGAGCGCAGGCGGUGCGGCAAGUCUGAUGUGAAAGCCCGGGGCUCAACCCCGGGACUGCAUUGGAAACUACCGAACUAGAGUGUCGGAGAG
rnacentral:rRNA from 1 species